rnacentral:SRP_RNA from 1 species
GCCAGGCGUGGUGGCGCAUGCCUGUAAUCCCAGCUACUCAGGAGGCUGAGGCAGGAGAAUCGCUUGAACCCGGGAGGCGGAGGUUGCAGUGAGCCGAGAUCACACCACUGCACUUCAGCCUGGGUGACAGAGCGAGACUCCAUCUCAA